CCACGAGUUCUCACAAUUUUACCUUUCCUUAUUCUCUCUUCCAUCCCAGCUGGGGAGAGUGAAUGAGUGGCUUGCGGUGCUGAACUGCCUGCUGGAUCUAAACUACAGCUUCAUUCAGUAAAGACCUGGAGGAAAUGCAACUAUUCUCCUACUUCAGUGUUUGGAGAUGGGACAGGCCUUAGGAAGAAUACAGUCUAGCAGUCGGAGAUAACAUUAACGAAGGGCAGCAAAACCUAUAACACAGAAAGUGAAAAGUCAAU
rnacentral:lncRNA from 1 species